UGGCACAACUGGCAGGGCGUUCGGCCCUCAAUCGCAAGGUUGAGAGUUCGAGUCCCACCUUGGCCAAACCUCGCUGUGUCCUUGGGCAAGACACUUAACCCGGCAUCGCCCGAGUGAAUGCGCGUGAAUGGGAAAACACAAUUACUGCAUGAAUGAGUGAGGUUGGGUAAAUCCGACAUUGAGUACCGAAAUUGAAAGACCAAAAAGCUAUAUAAGCUCAUGUCCGCUUACCAUUUCUAUAUUUUAU